rnacentral:rRNA from 1 species
CCCUUAGAUGUUCUGGGCCGUACGCGCGCUACACUGAUGCAUUCAACGAGCCUAUCCUUGACCGACAGGUCCGGGUAAUCUUUGAAUCUGCAUCGUGACGGGGAUAGAUUAUUGCAAUUAUUAAUCUUCAACGAGGAAUGCCUAGUAGGCGCAAGUCAUCAGCUUGCGUCGAUUACGUCCCUGCCUUUUGUACACACCGCCCGUCGCUCCUACCGAUUGGGUGUGCUGGUGAAAUGUUCGGAUCGGCCGUUUGUCGCGGUUUCCGCGUCAUGUGGCUGAGAAGUUCAUUAAACCCUCCCACCUAGAGGAAGGAGAAGUCGUAACA